rnacentral:sRNA from 1 species
GAAUACCCGUUGUGCAAUCAGAAGAUUGAAUGGUCGUGAUAUUAAUUGCAAGACUUAAUAGAACAGUUUAUGUAUUGUCGCCUCAACAACGUAGAGGCCUGAAAGGCCUCGUCAACGAACGUAUCGUCUUGAACUUGCCUUUUUCCUGAAAGCGGCAUGUUCCUGUCCUAUUCGAUCACUUUUUCAGAGGAGGUAAAUCAAAGUGACUCUAUCUUAAUAUUUUCUAACGACCAUCAGUCUAACGCAAUCGAUUGCUAGGAUGAAAAUGACUGUAUUGAGAGUACGUUAUUUUUUUACUUCACGUCUUUAUUUUUCCAUGACGAGAUUAAAAUACACACAAGUUCUGGUACAUGUAUCCAAAAAGACUCAGGAGAUAUUCAGUAAGUGAUAGUAAUAGUUUGUGAUUUUUGAUUUCUGCCUUUGUAUUAAUUGUAGAAUAAACAAUAGAUAUCU